UCUAAUAAGCAGUCACAACAAAGAUUAAUAACUGAAGAUGCUAUUUCAAUUAAAUUUAUUUAUGUUUUUGUCGCCUGUUCUAAGACCUCAUCUACACUACAAAGUUUACUGAUAAAACUUGUCUUCUGUUGGCACAGCCUUGCAUAUGUCCACACCCAUUUUUAAGACCUACUGACAAAACUGACCUGCUGAUGAAUCUAAUUGCCCCUGUCAUGUUCUUUAAAAUCAGUCUUUUUUCCUCUUCCCAGCUGCCUUCUCCCCCCGCCCCCUCCGCAUUUCCCCCAUGGUCUUGCAGAUUUAUGUAAAACACAACAUGCAACAGUAACAAGAACAUUUGGCUUUCUGAGAUCCAGGCUGUUCAUAAGACACCUCUGUUGACCCUUUAAUCUGCCAAACAUGUGCUCCACUGUGAUCUUGCAUGUACUUAGGUGGUAAUUAAAUCUUUCCUUGUUCCUUUCUAGCUGCCAGGUGUAUGGUUUCAUGAGUCAGGGAAGCAAAGGCUGGGCUAGGCAUCUGAGAAACACAGUUUUCACACUGGUGGGGCUUCAAUGCGUAUGCCAGUCUGUGCUGUCAUCUUUUCAAAAAGACCUGUAGUCUUAAAGUUGCAAGUAUCAUGCACCUUCCCUGAGCACCCAUCAUUAGAGUAAUUGAAACAUGACUGGUGACACACCCACACUUGCAUAACUAUGGGAAAAUAUUCUUUUCUCUUUAUGUACUCAGAGACAAAGUUUUUGGAGUAAGGGAGAAUUCCCUGCACAUUGCCCAGAAUCAGUCCUGUGCAUCAGGACACACUUAAUGAAUUUGGAUUAUCACCUGUGGAUGGUUUAAUGGACUGUGAAGUGAUUUUGAUGGCCUCGGGCCAUUUCCCAGUAGACACAUCUCACCAAAGAAACCAAAUGGUGGCUGUUGAAGUUGUGGUGGAAAUGUGUGAGGGAGUUAGGUUAUCUGUCCAGAGAAUGAAAGUGUCAUCAAUGUAUAUCAUAGGUUUUAUAGUGCAUUUUCUCAGAAAUUCUUGCUUGAGGUGUCCCAUGAACCAUACUGAGGAACCAUCCCAGUACCUGUGACUGUUCCCGUGGUUUGGACAAACUGUGUGGUGUUAAAUGUAAAAUUGUUGUGGGGGAGAAUGAAAUGGAUUAGUUUGGCGACAUCUUUGAGGUGCAUAUCUGAAUAUUGUCCAUUGUCUUUAGGCAGACUUUGAUGCUAUCAUAGUGAGGAUUUUGGUAUAUAGGAAAGGGCCAUACAUGAUGGGAAGGAAUGUGUUCUGAGGGAAAUUGUUAAUAUUGUGGAGUUUCUGGAGGAAGUAGAUUGUGUCCUGGAGGAAACUGGCCCUUUGUGUGAUCUGAAGAAGAGCUCUGUGAAGCUCAAAAGCUUGUCUCUUCCACCAGCAGAAGUUGGUCGGAUUAAAAAAUUACCUCACCUACCUUGUCUCUUAAAUAUACAGCAUCAGCCAGCAUAAGCCGUCUCUAAAAACUACAGAUGAAACGAAGAGACAUGCAGCUACCUUUUUCAGAACUGGUCUCAGAUUUUCAGUGUCCUGCUUGAGAAGUCUUUUUCAGAGGUCUGAACAAGCUGUGGCUCUCAUUUAAGUCAAUAUAAACAGCAAAAUAAGGAAAAUUUGUCAUCUUUCUGUUGUAAUGAAAGCUGCUUAGCUGAAGAUAUUUUGGUAAAAUGCAUAUAGCUUUCAUUUUUAAAAAGUUAUUUUUGAUAGCCCCUUCUACAAUGGUGAGACAACUUUUGCCAUUUUUAAGAAUCAGUCAAUUUAAAAACAAUCUUAUGAGUUUCCUAAUACGGAAAUCCAUGGAUUUUUAAGCCAUUAGUGGGUUCUGGUGUUCUUUAUCAACAUAUAUGCAUGUCUUUUUAGAAGAGUCUUUCCAAAGAGAUCGCAUUGAUAAAUACACAAGGGAGGUUGCUACUAAAUUCUUGUAAUUAUUGCUAAAUAAUAAAAUUUAAUCAAAUGAGGAAGUGAA